rnacentral:misc_RNA from 1 species
UUUCCGUAGGUGAACCUGCGGAAGGAUCAUUAUUGUAUAACCGAGGUGCGAGGGCUGUCGCUGAUCCCAUUGGUCGUGCACGCCCGACUGCCCGCACACACAUCCAUCUCACCCCUACGUGCACCACCGCGUGGGUCCCCCUUUGGCUUGUUCGGAGGGGGGCUUACGUUGUUACACAAACUUUGUAUGCAGUGUAGAAUGUAUUUUUUGUAUUUGCAAUCACGCAAUCAAUACAACUUUCAACAACGGAUCUCUUGGCUCUC